UGGGUAACCUGCCUCAAAGAGGGGAAUAGCCUCCCGAAAGGGAGAUUAAUAUCGCAUAAUAUGUUUAGGUCGCAUGACUUUAACAUCAAAGGAUUUCUUAUAGAAAUUCCACUUUGAGAUGGACCCGCGGCGCAUUAGCUAGUUGGUGAGGUAACGGCUCACCAAGGCAACGAUGCGUAGCCGACCUGAGAGGGUGAUCGGCCACAUUGGAACUGAGACACGGUCCAGAUCCGUACGGG
rnacentral:rRNA from 1 species